rnacentral:rRNA from 1 species
CCCGGGCCUUGUACACACCGCCCGUCACACCAUGGGAGUUGGUUUUACCCGAAGACGGCGCGCUAACCGCAAGGAGGCAGCCGGCCACGGUAGGGUCAGCGACUGGGGUG